rnacentral:lncRNA from 1 species
GGCGUUGGCUAACAUGCAAGACAAGCAAACUGCUCUCAGAAGAGACCUCACUUAUGCAAAGAAGGCAGCCAGAGGCAGAUGCCAAAUUCAAAGUGGGACCUGGCAAAUAUGCAUCUUCUACAGACCUGCAGAAUUAAACCCAGGGCAGGCCUCCCUGUCACACCAGCAGGAGUAGAGCAGGGGCUCCGGGUGAAGAGUUUGAUCCAAGAAGAAGAAAAGAGAACAGGAAUGAUUUAUGCAUGCCC